GACGAACGCUGGCGGCGUGCUUAACACAUGCAAGUCGAACGGAAAGGCCCUGCUUUUGUGGGGUGCUCGAGUGGCGAACGGGUGAGUAACACGUGAGUAACCUGCCCUUGACUUUGGGAUAACUUCAGGAAACUGGGGCUAAUACCGGAUAGGAGCUCCUGCUGCAUGGUGGGGGUUGGAAAGUUUCGGCGGUUGGGGAUGGACUCGCGGCUUAUCAGCUUGUUGGUGGGGUAGUGGCUUACCAAGGCUUUGACGGGUAGCCGGCCUGAGAGGGUGACCGGCCACAUUGGGACUGAGAUGCGGCCCAGACUCCUACAGGAGGCAGCAGUGGGGAAUAUUGCACAAUGGGCGGAAGCCUGAUGCAGCAACGCCGCGUGCGGGAUGACGGCCUUCGGGUUGUAAACCGCUUUCGCCUGUGACGAAGCGUGAGUGACGGUAAUGGGUAAAGAAGCACCGGCUAACUACGUG
rnacentral:rRNA from 1 species